GAACGCUGGCGGCGUGCUUAACACAUGCAAGUCGAACGGAAAGGCCCAAGCUUGCUUGGGUCCUCGAGUGGCGAACGGGUGAGUAACACGUGGGUGAUCUGCCCUGCACUUCGGGAUAAGCCUGGGAAACUGGGUCUAAUACCGGAUAGGACGAUGGUUUGGAUGCCAUUGUGGAAAGUUUUUUCGGUGUGGGAUGAGCUCGCGGCCUAUCAGCUUGUUGGUGGGGUAAUGGCCUACCAAGGCGUCGACGGGUAGCCGGCCUGGGAGGGGGUACGGCCACAUUGGGACUGAGAUACGGCCCAGACUCCUACGGGAGGCAGCAGUGGGGAAUAUUGCACAAUGGGCGCAAGCCUGAUGCAGCGACGCCGCGUGGGGGAUGACGGCCUUCGGGUUGUAAACUCCUUUCGCUAGGGACGAAGCGUUUUUGUGACGGUACCUGGAGAAGAAGCACCGGCUAACUACGUG
rnacentral:rRNA from 1 species